rnacentral:rRNA from 1 species
GAUGAACGCUGGCGGCGUGCCUAAUACAUGCAAGUAGAACGCUGAAGCUUGGUGCUUGCACCGAGCGGAUGAGUUGCGAACGGGUGAGUAACGCGUAGGUAACCUGCCUCUUAGCGGGGGAUAACUAUUGGAAACGAUAGCUAAUACCGCAUAAAAGUCGAUAUCGCAUGUUAUUGAUUUGAAAGGUGCAAAUGCAUCACUAAGAGAUGGACCUGCGUUGUAUUAGCUAGUUGGUGAGGUAACGGCUCACCAAGGCGACGAUACAUAGCCGACCUGAGAGGGUGAUCGGCCACACUGGGACGGAGACACGGCCCAGACUCCUACGGGAGGCAGCAGUAGGGAAUAUUAGGCAAUGGGGGAAACCCUGACCGAGCAACGCCGCGUGAGUGAAGAAGGGUUUCGGAUCGUAAAGCUCUGUUGUAAGAGAAGAACGAGUGUGAGAGUGGAAAGUUCACAAUGUGACGGUAACUUACCAGAAAGGGACGGCUAACUACGUG